rnacentral:tRNA from 1 species
AGAGAGGUGGCCGAGUGGCUUAAGGCGCACGCUUGGAAAGCGUGUAUACGUUAAUAGCGUAUCGAGGGUUCGAAUCCCUUCCUCUCUGCAA